CGGAACGGGGACACCAGCAGCACGGUGGCCUCAGCUCUCCUCCGCGGCAGAGACCCAGGAUUUCCCAAAGAUGCCAGAACUUUGGAGGAUCAGUCCCUGAGCAAAUAAAUCAGCGAAGAGUCAGCACGCUCCACAGGAAGGGAGAGAGUGACCAAAGUCUCCUGCCUUUCCUUUCCACGCUGUCAGAGGUAGGCCUGGUGAACCUGUAACAGGGCUGUCCGCUCUGACAAACUGCUCGGCUUUCUCUAGUUCUUCUCCUCCUCCUCUCAUGGAUGAAGCAGAGACUAAUUGUGGUGCUGCCAGGCAUCUGAGCUGCGCAUUGCUUCCACUGCAGGACUGUGUUUAAAUCAGGUAUCAUUUCUUCUGGAAACUUCACAAGUCAAGACUUUCAUCCUCUUUCCUGUAACCCACCACUCUGAGUCAUUUUAUAACCAAAACAGACAGAGAUUCUGGUGUCAUUCAUGAUUUAAAAAAAAACCAACACAUUACCCAAUGCAUAUUUUGUUGCUUGGGCACAAAAUAAAACCAAACACAACAAAACCAAAGAACAAACAGACAGAAAAGGACACAGCCCACUCACAAACCUGCUCCCUCUGCCCCUGCCCUGCACUAGGCUCCACACCCCCUCAGGGCACUGCAGCACGCUCUGCACCAGCUGGGGAAGACCCGAAUGUGGCAACCAGCAAACGGAGCCCAGCGGCGCUCCGGCAGCCACCUUCUGGCUACGGGGCCUCUGCUGCCGCGUGCUUCGUUCCACGAUGGGGCGGACUCGCUCCUACAGCUGCUCCUGGCCUUCCAGCCCCGGCUGUGACUAUUACCCUUGGUUAGACAGCUCCGUUCCUGCUAAAGACAAAAUAGGUUUUAGGUGACCUCUGAAGCCCGUCACAUCCGAACCGCACAGACAUGACUGUGACUGUACCAGGGCAGUGUAAAAGCCGCUGUGGUUCAAGGAAAGAGUGACAGCUGAGGGGAGGAAAUGGCUCGUACUUUCAGAGGCGGUUUCUGUAAGUCACUGCAUGAAGUAGCAGCGCUUGUCCCUUCCACUGUGCCGCUCAGAGGCAGGGUUACAGAGGUGAGGGGCAGAAAGGAAACGCUACGUCCGCCUCCGUUCUAAGCCUGUAUCCUUCCCACACACACACACCACAGAAGAAAACAAA